rnacentral:rRNA from 1 species
UAGGGAAUCUUCGGCAAUGGACGAAAAGUCUGACCGAGCAACGCCGCGUGAGUGAAGAAGGUUUUCGGAUCGUAAAACUCUGUUGGUAGAGAAGAACGUUGGUGAGAGUGGAAAGCUCAUCAAGUGACGGUAACUACCCAGAAAGGGACGGCUAACUACGUGCCUG